rnacentral:lncRNA from 1 species
CUCUCGCGGGACAGAAGUUACGCCUUGACUGCUCUUCACCGCUUGCUUUGCAAACACCUGCGUCUCGCGGGUGGCUUAAAGGGCUACGAGUCAGACUCAGGACAAAAUCCUUGCGGGGCGAACACGGACGCCCAGCCUGCCGAGACCGCACAGCCCGGCUGCGGAGGACAGGACGCAAGCCCUUGCACCGCUUCCCUUCUAAGGGGCCUCGCGCACACACGCGUCGCUAGGGCCGGCGGAGCGAGCUCGGCUUGGAGCCCCCGACAGGCAGCGGCUUCGUCUUUCAGGCACCCAAACAGGCAAGGCGGCGCGGGAAGGCACGUUUUUCAAACCCUACCGACCGCUUCGUCCUCUCUGCACUGCACACUGCCUCCAACUUUGCCAGAACGGGAGGCAGAGCCGAGCCCUGCUGCAGAGCCUCCGGCUGGGAUAGCCGCCCCCCGUGGGGGCGAUGCGGACAGCGCGGGACAGCCAGGGGAGCGCGCGGGGGCCGCAGCAUGCGGGAACCCGCUAAACCCGGUGGCUGCUGAGGCGGCCGAGAUGCUCGUGCGCGCAGCGCGCCCCACUGCAUCCUCGACCUUCUCCGGCUACAGGUACGUCCCAGCGGGAGACCUGGGCUGGGCCGGCCGGGGAAGAGGAAGACUCGACCCGAGGAGAGAGAGCGGGAGGAUCAGGAGAGCGAGGGAGAGGAGAGCGGGAGAGGGAGCAUCUGCGGCAAGGCGCGGGAGGAGCACCAGGGGGCGCUGCGGCUCCGCGCUCCGCGGCGCUCGCCCCGAAGAGCGCGUCGGCCAGAACGACUUCUCCCCAACUUCCCCUGGCUCCGGCGGGCGCGGGGCCCGAGGGGCGCGCGCCUGUGCACGCGUGCACGACCGUGCUGGUAUUUGCAGGCACGCGCAGUUGUGCACCUGGCGCGAUACAUGUGUGUGCACCGGCCGAGGACGUGUGCGGACUCCGGAUGGCCGUGGGCACCGCCACGGCGGCCUGCGGCUGUGCGCAGCAAUGCGCGCGUGCCUGAGAGGCUGUGCAGCCCACUGCCCACGUGCCCCUAACACUUGGUAACAGGAUCUGGGCUGCAAAGCCUGGGGAGGGGCUGUAGGGUUCACGUCGGUUGGAGAGCGGCUUAGGAGCCCACCUUUCCCCCCACGCACGUUCCCAGCCGGCUCCCACGCGCCGGCCCACGGCUGGGGGGGGGCGGACGCGCCUCCUCUCCUCUCCGGGAUUCUGCAUUGCACGCGGCAAGCGUGAGAGAGGGCGUGUGUGUGUAUGUGUGUGUGUGCACAUGCACGCGUGUAGGGGGCGGGCCCUGGAGCCCGCCUUCAGUUGAGUGGAAGUCGCCUCGGGAUCCCUCCAAGGGAGGUGGCGCGGGCCCGAAAUUCCCCCCAGGCACCCCGGACCCCGGGGCGCACAAGCGAGUGUCCUCGCUGCCUUGCGCUUGGGAGGGGGUGCCCCGCGGAGGCAGGCCUGUGCUGCGCCCCGCGGGCUCGCAGGGGGCGGGGUCAGCCAACUAGCCCGGCGCGGGAGC